GACGUAGGGUGCAAGCGUUGUCCGGAUUUACUGGGCGGAAAGAGCGCGUAGGCGGUCUGUUAAGUGUGAAGUGAAAUCUCCAGGGCUCAACCCGGAAACUGCUUCGCAUACUGGCAGGCUGGAGGAACGGAGAGGUGAGUGGAAUUCCUGGUGUACCGGUGAAAUGCGUAGAUAUCUGGAGGAACACCGGUGGCGAAGGCGGCGUUCUGGACUGCAUCUGACACUGAGGAACGAAAGCCAGGGGAGCAAACGGG
rnacentral:rRNA from 1 species